CCUACGGGGGGCAGCAGUGGGUGAUAUUGCACAAUGGGGGAAACCCUGAUGCAGCGACGCCGCGUGGGUGAAGAAGCGCCUCGGCGCGUAAAGCCCUGUCAGCAGGGAAGAAAAUGACGGUACCUGAAGAAGAAGCCCUGGCUAACUACGUGCCAGCAGCCGCGGUAAUACGUAGGGGGCAAGCGUUAUCCGGAUUUACUGGGUGUAAAGGGGGCGCAGACGGCGAUGCAAGCCAGGAGCGAAAGCCCGGGGCCCAACCCCGGGACUGCUCUUGGAACUGCGUGGCUAGAGUGCAGGAGGGGCAGGCGGAAUUCCUGGUGUAGCGGUGAAAUGCGUAGAUAUCAGGAGGAACACCGGUGGCGAAGGCGGCCUGCUGGACUGCAACUGACGUUGAGGCCCGAAAGCGUGGGGAGCAAACAGGAUUAGAUACCCGGGUAGUC
rnacentral:rRNA from 1 species